UAUGGCCAUAUCACAUUGAAACGCCGGUUCUCGUACAAUCACUGAAGUUAAGCAACUUCGAACAUGGUCAGUACAUAGAUGGGUGACCGCUUGGGAAUACAAGGUGCUGUAAG